UCAAGGUUUAGAGAUGACUUGAGUAUCCCUGUAGGCUUGGAUCACUAUGUGGAUGAUCUCUUCAGCCCUGUGCUACAUCAGGGCUCCAGAGUAUCUGAUAUGGAGAACAGAGAGAUUCUCACCAGACGCAUGAAAGGAGGUGGCAAGAUUGGACCCACACAGAGAGGAAUCCUUCCCUCUACAGGCUUCUCUGGAAUGACUCAAACACCAGUUUACCAGCCUGUGCCCUCCAUGGUGGGGAUGCCAGCAGCCAUGCCCAUGAUGCCAGGGGCUGGUGGGGUUGCACCUAUGCCAGGUAACAGCAGUGUUUCUGUAACUGCAGAGGAGAGGGGGUGGAAGA